rnacentral:rRNA from 1 species
AACGAACGCUGGCGGCAUGCCUAACACAUGCAAGUCGAACGAGACCUUCGGGUCUAGUGGCGCACGGGUGCGUAACGCGUGGGAAUCUGCCCUUGGGUUCGGAAUAACAGUGAGAAAUUACUGCUAAUACCGGAUGAUGUCUUCGGACCAAAGAUUUAUCGCCCAGGGAUGAGCCCGCGUAGGAUUAGCUAGUUGGUGGGGUAAUGGCCUACCAAGGCGACGAUCCUUAGCUGGUCAGAGAGGAUGAUCCGCCACACUGGGACUGAGACACGGCCGAGACUCCUACGGGAUGCAGGAGAGGGGAAUAUAGGAAAAUGGGCGCAAGCAUGAACCAGCAAUGCCGCGUGAGGGAUGAAGGCCUUAGGGUAGUAAAGCUCUCUUAACCGGGAUGAUAAUGACAGUACCGGGAGAAUAAGCGCCGGCUAACUACGUG